GACGAACCGUGCGAACGUUGUUCGGAAUCACUGGGCUUAAAGGGCGCGUAGGCGGGUCACCAAGUCCGGGGUGAAAUCUUUCGGCUCAACCGGAAGACUGCCUUGGAUACUGGUGGUCUCGAGGGAGGUAGGGGCAUGUGGAACUUCUGGUGGAGCGGUGAAAUGCGUUGAUAUCAGAAGGAACGCCGGUGGCGAAAGCGACGUGCUGGACCUCUACUGACGCUGAGGCGCGAAAGCCAGGGGAGCAAACGGGAUUAGAUACCCUGGUAGU
rnacentral:rRNA from 1 species